rnacentral:rRNA from 1 species
UACGGAGGGUGCAAGCGUUAUCCGGAUUCACUGGGAUUAAAGGGUGCGUAGGAGGGCAGGUAAGUCAGUGGUGAAAUCCCCGAGCUUAACUUGGGAACUGCCGUUGAUACUAUCUGUCUUGAAUAUCGUGGAGGUGAGCGGAAUAUGUCAUGUAGCGGUGAAAUGCUUAGAUAUGACAUAGAACACCAAUUGCGAAGGCAGCUCGCUACACGAAUAUUGACUCUGAGGCACGAAAGCGUGGGGAUCAAACAGG